rnacentral:rRNA from 1 species
CUGCUGCCUCCCGUAGGAGUCUGGUCCGUGUCUCAGUACCAGUGUGGGGGACCUUCCUCUCGGAACCCCUACGCAUCGUCGCCUUGGUGGGCCGUUACCCCGCCAACAAGCUAAUGCGACGCAUGACCAUCCGUAGCCGGAAUCGCUUCCUUUAAACCCACAGAGAUGCCUCCAUGGGUUGUUACGCGGUAUUAGACGGAAUUUCUUCCGCUUAUCCCCCUGCUACGGGCAGGUUUCAUACGUGUUACUCACCCGUGCGCCGGUCGCCGGCGGGAG